AGAGUUUGAUCAUGGCUCAGGACGAACGCUGGCGGCGUGCCUAAUACAUGCCAAGUUGAGCGCUGAAGGUUGGUACUUGUACCAACUGGAUGAGCAGCGAACGGGUGAGUAACGCGUGGGGAAUCUGCCUUUGAGCGGGGGACAACAUUUGGAAACGAAUGCUAAUACCGCAUAAAAACUUUAAACACAAGUUUUAAGUUUGAAAGAUGCAAUUGCAUCACUCAAAGAUGAUCCCGCGUUGUAUUAGCUAGUUGGUGAGGUAAAGGCUCACCAAGGCGAUGAUACAUAGCCGACCUGAGAGGGUGAUCGGCCACAUUGGGACUGAGACACGGCCCAAACUCCUACGGGAGGCAGCAGUAGGGAAUCUUCGGCAAUGGACGAAAGUCUGACCGAGCAACGCCGCGUGAGUGAAGAAGGUUUUCGGAUCGUAAAACUCUGUUGGUAGAGAAGAACGUUGGUGAGAGUGGAAAGCUCAUCAAGUGACGGUAACUACCCAGAAAGGGACGGCUAACUACGUGCCAGCAGCCGCGGUAAUACGUAGGUCCCGAGCGUUGUCCGGAUUUAUUGGGCGUAAAGCGAGCGCAGGUGGUUUAUUAAGUCUGGUGUAAAAGGCAGUGGCUCAACCAUUGUAUGCAUUGGAAACUGGUAGACUUGAGUGCAGGAGAGGAGAGUGGAAUUCCAUGUGUAGCGGUGAAAUGCGUAGAUAUAUGGAGGAACACCGGUGGCGAAAGCGGCUCUCUGGCCUGUAACUGACACUGAGGCUCGAAAGCGUGGGGAGCAAACAGGAUUAGAUACCCUGGUAGUCCACGCCGUAAACGAUGAGUGCUAGAUGUAGGGAGCUAUAAGUUCUCUGUAUCGCAGCU
rnacentral:rRNA from 1 species